AGGUUGAUUGCUCAGUGGCAGAACAUCUGCCUUGCAAGCAGAAGGUCCUAGGUGAAAUCCCCAGUAUGUCUA